rnacentral:lncRNA from 1 species
AACAUUCUGAACAUGGUCAUGUGCAUACUUGGAACAAAAUUUCGUAAGUAAAAUUUGUACAAUAAGAGCUAGCUAAAAGAAGAAUAUCUUAUAGAUCUCUACAUAGACCCUUUCAUACAUAACAUCACAAUAAUGAAGUAAUAUAGUUCAUUGUUCAACUUCAUCACAUUGAAUUUGAUAAGUGAGUACUUAAAAACAAAAUUACAAAAGUCGGAAAUACAAAGUCAUGAAAUCUCAG